AGACCCGAAACCCGGUGAUCUAGCCAUGGGCAGGUUGAAGGUUGGGUAACACUAACUGGAGGACCGAACCGACUAAUGUUGAAAAAUUAGCGGAUGACCUGUGGCUGGGGGUGAAAGGCCAAUCAAACCGGGAGAUAGCUGGUUCUCCCCGAAAGCUAUUUAGGUAGCGCCUCGUGAAUUCAUCUCCGGGGGUAGAGCACUGUUUCGGCUAGGGGGCCAUCCCGGCUUACCAACCCGAUGCAAACUGCGAAUACCGGAGAAUGUUAUCACGGGAGACACACGGCGGGUGCUAACGUCCGUCGUGAAGAGGGAAACAACCCAGACCGCCAGCUAAGGUCCCAAAGUCAUGGUUAAGUGGGAAACGAUGUGGGAAGGCCCAGACAGCCAGGAUGUUGGCUUAGAAGCAGCCAUCAUUUAAAGAAAGCGUAAUAGCUCACUGGUCGAGUCGGCCUGCGCGGAAGAUGUAACGGGGCUAAACCAUGCACCGAAGCUGCGGCAGCGACACUAUGUGUUGUUGGGUAGGGGAGCGUUCUGUAAGCCUGUGAAGGUGGCCUGUGAGGGUUGCUGGAGGUAUCAGAAGUGCGAAUGCUGACAUAAGUAACGAUAAAGCGGGUGAAAAGCCCGCUCGCCGGAAGACCAAGGGUUCCUGUCCAACGUUAAUCGGGGCAGGGUGAGUCGACCCCUAAGGCGAGGCCGAAAGGCGUAGUCGAUGGGAAACGGGUUAAUAUUCCCGUACUUGGUGUUACUGCGAAGGGGGGACGGAGAAGGCUAUGUUGGCCGGGCGACGGUUGUCCCGGUUUAAGCGUGUAGGUGUGUGUUCCAGGUAAAUCCGGUUCACUUUAACACUGAGGCGUGA
rnacentral:rRNA from 1 species